rnacentral:rRNA from 1 species
CAGUCGCCGCGGGAAUACAGAGGAUGCAAGCGUUAUCCGGAAUGAUUGGGCGUAAAGCGUCUGUAGGUGGCUUUUCAAGUCCGCCGUCAAAUCCCAGGGCUCAACCCUGGACAGGCGGUGGAAACUACCAAGCUGGAGUACGGUAGGGGCAGAGGGAAUUUCCAGUGGAGCGGUGAAAUGCGUAGAGAUCAAGAAGAAUACCCAUUGCGAAAGCGAUCUGCUGGAACUUAACUGACGCUAAUGCGUGAAAGCGUGGGGAGCAAACAGGAUUAGAUACCCGCGUAGUCCCUGUCUCUUAUAC